CUCAAAAUGAUAUUCUAUUUGGUUAAGGAAUCCCCUGCAUUCUUGAAUAUUACCAUCAAAAUGCAGGGGAGGAGAUAGGGAGAUAGUAGGUGCCUUCUGUACUAUAGGUGAGGUACAUAAGAUGGAGGUGAGGCCGCAGGUUGCAGAUGUGCUGUUCGAGUAAGAAACAUACUGAAGGACUGGGCAAAUUGAUGCAUGCGGUGAUCAUUUUCC